rnacentral:tRNA from 1 species
GGGUCUGUAGCUCAGUUGGUUGAGCGCACCCCCUGAUAAGGGUGGGGGGUCGGUGGUUCAACCACCCAGACCCACCA